AUUCGCUCUCCCUACCUAUCCCCACACCUCUCCUACCCCUUCCAGGUCAUGUGGCUGACCCCAAACGAGGGGAUUAGGGGCACCUAGAGAUGAGAGGGACUUUGGUUUGUUAGUUGAAAUAAGCAACUUCUUUGGGCAAGGUGAAGUAGUUGGGGUGUCGUGGAUUCAAGACCAUCUUGGAAAACCCAGUAGUUCUCUACUAUAACUAACUCCACACUGGGUCAUUAGAAGCAAUUACUGAAGUGCCAAAGGAUACAGGAUGAAUGGUCUUCCCAGUAAUGUCUUUUGAAAAUGCUUUGUCUUGAACUGUUUUUUCUGUUAAGGUGAGUUGUUAUAUCUGGAUAAUGGUAGAUCGUGAAUUUAUUGAGAGAAAUAAUGCAGUUGGACCUCGAAUAUUAAUCAAUUAGACAGAAUUGUAUCCAGAUCCUCUCUAUAUGAGGCCCCAGAGCUUGAGCUGCAGCUUCUAGGUUGACUUGCUUACUUACAGGAAAUUAAGUAGAGGCCCUCCAUCCCUGCUUUUCCUUGUCGUGGUUACCAAGGGCUAUGUAGCAGAGAGCACAACUACACGGAAAUGAGGGGUAGUUGUUCCAGAGUGACGGUUAGCUAGCCCUAUAAAAAUAGGCCCUAGAAUGAGGAGGCGUCUCAGAUUGUGGGAAUAUCCCACUGAGGGGACCAGGGACUGUUAGAUAGAGGUCCAUUGAGGAAGAGUUCUGCCUCAGUCUUAUGUUUUGUAGAUGGGAUCAUUUUAAUCACCACAAUGUCUAUUAGAGUGUGUGACAAAAUGUUGGAAAAGAAUAUUGAAAGAGAUAUAUUUUAUAAGAAAAAAAUAAUAAUGAUACAUGAUCAACUAUUGGGAGAAAAGUAUAACAAAAUCCUCUUAAGAGAUCUUUGUGAGGUUCCUUUGUUCUUCCUAUAUAACCUGUUAAAAACUCUCACCAGCUCUGCUGACAGUAUUGUGAGAUUCUAUAAUGCUGCAGUUUCAGGAACCAGGACCUCUCUCAGCCAAUGUAAGAAAAUGUGUGGGUUAAAAUUUAAGUGACUACUGCAUUGUAUCAGAGAUCAUUUAGAAAAUCACAGAAUUAUAUGCUGUUAAUUAAUAUACCUAUCAGCCAAAGUAAGGAAAUUUCUGGAUAAAAUUUAAGUGACUACUGCAUUUUAUCAGAGAUCAUUUAGAAAAUCAUAGAAUUACAUGCAGUUAAUUAGUAUACCUAGCAGCCAAAGUAAGGAAAUUUGUGGGUAAAAUUUAAGUAAUUGCCACAUUUUAUCAGAGAUCAUUUAGAAAAUCAUAGAAAUAUAUGCUGUUAAUUAGUAUUUAAGGAAAUUUGUAGGUACAAUUUAAGUAACUACUGCAUUUUAUCAGAAAUCAUUUAGAAAAUCAUAGAAUUACAUGCUGUUAAUUAAUAUACCUAUCAGCCAAAGUAAGGAAAUUUGUGGGUAAAAUUUAAGUGACUACUGCAUUUUAUCAGAGAUCAUUUAGAAAAUCACAGAAUUACAUGCUGUUAAUUAAUAUACCUAUCAGCCAAAGUAAGGAAAUUUGUGGGUAAAAUUUAAGUAAUUGCCACAUUUUAUCAGAGAUCAUUUAGAAAAUCAUAGAAAUAUAUGCUGUUAAUUAGUAUUUAAGGAAAUUUGUAGGUACAAUUUAAGUAACUACUGCAUUUUAUCAGAAAUCAUUUAGAAAAUCAUAGAAUUACAUGCCGUUAAUUAAUAUACCUAUCAGCCAAAGUAAGGAAAUUUGUGGGUAAAAUUUAAGUGACUACUGCAUUUUAUCAGAGAUCAUUUAGAAAAUCACAGAAUUACAUGCUGUUAAUUAAUAUACCUAUCAGCCAAAGUAAGGAAAUUUGUGGGUAAAAUUUAAGUGACUAUUUUAUUUUAUCAGAGAUCAUUUAGAAAAUCACAGAAUUACAUGCUGUUAAUUAAUAUACCUAUCAGCCAAAGUAAGGAAAUUUGUGGGUAAAAUUUAAGUGACUACUGCAUUUUAUCAGAGAUCAUUUAGAAAAUCAUAGAAUUACAUGCAGUUAAUUAGUAUACCUAUCAGCCAAAGUAAGGAAAUUUGUGGGUAAAAUUUAAGUGACUACUGCAUUUUAUCAGAGAUCAUUUAGAAAAUCACAGAAUUACAUGCUGUUAAUUAAUAUACCUAUCAGCCAAAGUAAGGAAAUUUGUGGGUAAAAUUUAAGUAACUACUGCAUUUUAUCAGAAAUCAUUUAGAAAAUCACAGAAAUAUAUGCUGUUAAUUAGUAUACCUAGCAGCCAAAGUAAGGAAAUUUGUGGGUAAAAUUUAAGUGACUACUGCAUUUUAUCAGAGAUCAUUUAGAAAAUCACAGAAUUACAUGCUGUUAAUUAAUAUACCUAUCAGCCAAAGUAAGGAAAUUUGUGGGUAAAAUUUAAGUGAGUAUUUUAUUUUAUCAGAGAUCAUUUAGAAAAUUACAAAAUUAUAUGCAGUUAAUUAGUAUACCUAGCAGCCAAAGUAAGGAAAUUUGUGGGUAAAAUUUAAGUAAUUACCGCAUUUCAUCAGAGAUCAUUUAGAAAAUCAUAGAAAUAUAUGCUGUUAAUUAGUAUUUAAGGAAAUUUGUAGGUAAAAUUUAAGUAACUACUGCAUUUUAUCAGAAAUCAUUUAGAAAAUCACAGAAAUAUAUGCUGUUAAUUAGUAUUUAAGGAAAUUUGUAGGUAAAAUGUAAGUUACUACUGCAUUUUAUCAGAAAACAUUUAGAAAAUUACAAAAUUAUAUGCAGUUAAUUAGUAUACCUAGCAGCCAAAGUAAGGAAAUUUGUGGGUAAAAUUUAAGUGACUACUGCAUUUUAUCAGAGAUCAUUUAGAAAAUCAUAGAAAUAUAUGCUGUUAAUUAGUAUUUAAGGAAAUUUGUAGGUAAAAUUUAAGUAACUACUGCAUUUUAUCAGAAAUCAUUUAGAAAAUUACAAAAUUAUAUGCAGUUAAUUAGUAUACCUAGCAGCCAAAGUAAGGAAAUUUGUGGGUAAAAUUUAAGUAAUUGCCACAUUUUAUCAGAGAUCAUUUAGAAAAUCAUAGAAAUAUAUGCUGUUAAUUAGUAUUUAAGGAAAUUUGUA